GACGAACGCUGGCGGCGCGCUUAAUACAUGCAAGUCGAACGAGAAGCCAGAGCUUGCUCUGGUGGAAAGUGGCGAACGGGUGAGUAACACGUGAGAAACCUGCCCCAAAGACUGGGAUAAGCCUUGGAAACGAGGUCUAAUACCGGAUACCUUCUUUUUAUCUCCUGAUAAAAAGAAGAAAGCUCCGGCGCUUUGGGAUGGUCUCGCGUCCUAUCAGCUUGUUGGUGAGGUAAAAGCUCACCAAGGCAACGACGGGUAGCUGGUCUGAGAGGAUGUCCAGCCACACUGGAACUGAGAUACGGUCCAGACUCCUACGGGAGGCAGCAGUAGGGAAUCUUGCACAAUGAGGGAAACCUUGAUGCAGCGACGCCGCGUGCGGGACGAAGGCCCUAGGGUUGUAAACCGCUUUCAGUUGGGACGAAAGUGACGGUACCAACAGAAGAAGCCCCGGCCAACUAUGUGCCAGCAGCCGCGGUGAUACAUAGGGGGCGAGCGUUGUCCGGAUUUACUGGGCGUAAAGAGCUCGUAGGCGGUUUGCCAAGUUAGAAGUGAAAUCUCCAGGCUUAACCUGGAGCGGCCUUUUAAAACUGGUAUGACUUGAGUACGGUAGAGGAGUGUGGAAUUCCCGGUGUAGCGGUGAAAUGCGCAGAUAUCGGGAGGAACACCUAUGGCGAAGGCAGCACUCUGGGCCGAAACUGACGCUGAGGAGCGAAAGCGUGGGGAGCGAACAGGAUUAGAUACCCCGGUAGUCCACGCCGUAAACGGUGGACACUAGGUGUGGGAUGCGAUCAACGCAUUCCGUGCCGCAGUUAACGCAUUAAGUGUCCCGCCUGGGGAGUACGGCCGCAAGGCUAAAACUCAAAGGAAUUGACGGGGGCCCGCACAAGCAGCGGAGCAUGUGGUUUAAUUCGAAGCAACGCGAAGAACCUUACCAGGUCUUGACAUCCAGGUAAAGCUGCAGAGAUGCAGUGUGUGCUUGCACAAUCUGAGACAGGUGGUGCAUGGUUGUCGUCAGCUCGUGUCGUGAGAUGUUGGGUUAAGUCCCGCAACGAGCGCAACCCUUGCCGGCAGUUACUAACAGGUGAAGCUGAGGACUCUGCUGGGACCGCCGGGGACAACUCGGAGGAAGGUGGGGACGACGUCAAAUCAUCAUGCCCCUUAUGACCUGGGCUACACACGUGCUACAAUGGCCGAGACAGAGAGCAGCGAGGGCGCAAGCCGGAGCGAAUCUCAAAAAAGCGGUCACAGUUCGGAUUGUGGGCUGCAACCCGCCCACAUGAAGCAGGAGUUGCUAGUAAUCGCGAAUCAGCAUGUCGCGGUGAAUACGUUCCCGGGCCU
rnacentral:rRNA from 1 species